AAAGUAAAUGUCAUUUACCACUAAAAUAGGCACUAAUUUUCAAUAUUUUUGUGCAAAUUUGCACGAUUUAUCAAUAAUUCUGUCCAUGCAGAACAUAAGUGUUUGUAAGAAAAAAAUCCAAUGAGAUCAGUGUUGUUAGUUAUCCACAAGUAGGACAAUAUUUCUGGCGUUUUUAUGUUUUUAUUAUUUUAAAUAAAGUUAUCUUGAUUUUUCUGUCAAGUUUUAAUGUUUAUUGUGAAACACAUUUACUAUUCAUUAUUUUUAAAGCGUGUCGGGGGCUACAAAUAUCAGUGAAACUGAUUUGAGGGAAAACAAUGGUUGCAAUGAAUACAUAUUUUAUGUUUUUUGAUUAUAAUUUUUUUUAUUGUCAUUAGCCAAUAGGGUCCGUAAACAACAUUUGCAUACAAUAAAUGCAUUUUUUUUCUAUUUUAGGAAAUGAACAUGCAUGAAAAGAUAGCAUUUCUAAGAUUUCCCGUAUUUAUGAUUUUGUACAUUGUGUCUUUCUUUCCGCAUAAAAGAUCCUCUGCAAUCAAAUAGCUUUGUAUUUUCCCCAUAAAUCCUACCUGUGGAAAAAAUAAUAAUAAUUAUAAUAAAUAAAUCAUCGCACAAUGUUGGAAGUCUAUCCCCGUCUUCACAGCUCAAUUGAAGAGAGUGUGCGACCCGGCAGUGAAUGGGUUAGUUUUUGCAUUACAAUGGAUAGUAGUGAUUUUCGAGAAACAAGCUCUCCAGCCAUCUUUGCUACGAGACGGCGGGUUUAACUUGGAGUUUGUUUUGUGCAGUUGUGAAAUAAAACCCAAUUCAAAAUAGGGGAGAAAUAGAAUUAUUGAGCGUUUCACCCGAGAGCGGAAUGCGCAGAAAGUUGGGUCAGAGAGAAGCGAAGUGAAACAAUGUAACAGCUGGCGGACUGGGAGAAUGAGAAGCUUCCUCUGGAGACGCCGCACAUUUCAAAAAUUGCUGAAGACAGAAAACAUCUUAAACGAAAAGAAUAAAAGAAAAUUGACUUACCAGACAUAUUGGCCUGAAAAGGAGGAAAACUCUGGAAGAGCUACAGUGAAAUACCCCAACGUCAGUUCUUUGCUCUAUUAUAUGGGCAAGAACGAAAUAUUCACAAAAGUAUCAAAAAGUCUUAACAAAGUAACCUCAAAACACUCUCAUGACAUACAAUUAAACAGUAUUAUA